AGAGUUUGAUCCUGGCUCAGAGUGAACGCUGGCGGCAUGGUUAAGACAUGCAAGUCGAACGAGAAGCAGGACUUCGGUCCUGUGGAAAGUGGCGAACGGGUGCGUAACACGUGAGCAACCUGCCCCUAAGUACGGAAUAGCCCACCGAAAGGUGGAUUAAUACCGCAUGUGACCCUUUAUCGCAUGGUAGAGUGGUUAAAGCUUGUAAUGGCGCUUAGGGAUGGGCUCGCGGCCUAUCAGCUUGUUGGUGAGGUAACGGCUCACCAAGGCUAAGACGGGUAGCUGGUCUGAGAGGAUGAUCAGCCACACCGGGACUGAGACACGGCCCGGACACCUACGGGUGGCAGCAGUUUCGAAUCAUUCACAAUGGGCGAAAGCCUGAUGAUGCAAUGCCGCGUGGAGGAUGACGGCCCUAGGGUUGUAAACUCCUGUCAUUAGGGAACAACAAGUAGGUUCAUAGCCUACCCUGAGUUAACCUAAAGAGGAAGAGGUGGCUAACUCCGUGCCAGCAGCCGCGGUAAUACGGAGACCUCGAGCGUUACUCGGAUUUACUGGGCGUAAAGGGUGAGCAGGCGGCCAGGUGUGUUAGGUGUGAAAUCCCGGGGCUCAACCCCGGAACUGCGCCUAAAACUACCUGGCUAGAGUAUCGGAGAGGACAGUGGAAUUCCAGGUGUAGCGGUGAAAUGCGUAGAUAUCUGGAGGAACACCAGUGGCGAAGGCGACUGUCUGGACGAUUACUGACGCUCAAUCACGAAAGCGUGGGUAGCGAAAGGGAUUAGAUACCCCUGUAGUCCACGCCGUAAACGUUGUGCACUAAGUUUCGGAGGAUUCGACCCCUUCGGAGCUCAAGCUAACGCGUUAAGUGCACCGCCUGAGGACUACGGCCGCAAGGCUAAAACUCAAAGGAAUUGACGG
rnacentral:rRNA from 1 species